UCAGGAUGAUUUCACAGACUCAUUUGUUCUGGCUCCUAGUGCUCUGGAUUCAGGACUCCAAUGGGCAGAUUGUGAUGACUCAGACUCCAGAAUCCCUGGCAGUGUCUCCAGGAGACAGAGUCACCAUCAACUGCAAAGCCAGUUCCAGUGUUAGUAGCUACAUGGCCUGGUACCAACAGAAAUCAGGGCAGGCUCCUAAGCUCCUUAUCUACAGAGCUUCCAGCCGUCCCUCCGGAAUCCCAGACCGGUUCAGUGGCAGUGGGUCUGGCACCGACUUCACUUUUACAAUCAGCCGGGUCGAGGUGGAUGAUGCUGGAGAUUAUUAUUGUCAGCAGGGACAGAGCUUCCCUCUCACAGUGAUACAGACCAGUACAAAAACCUUUGUUCCAUCUCUGUUACUCGAUGUAACAGCUGUUUCCUACCCACUCCCAGAGCAGGCAAGCAUGUGCCAGAUUUUGGGCAACUUUUGA